UAGGGAAUCUUCGGCAAUGGACGGAAGUCUGACCGAGCAACGCCGCGUGAGUGAAGAAGGUUUUCGGAUCGUAAAGCUCUGUUGUUAGAGAAGAACGUUGGUAGGAGUGGAAAAUCUACCAAGUGACGGUAACUAACCAGAAAGGGACGGCUAACUACGUGCCAGCAGCCGCGGUAAUAAGUAGGUCCCGAGCGUUGUCCGGACUUAUUGGGCGUAAAGCGAGCGCAGGCGGUUCUUUAAGUCUGAAGUUGAAGGCAGUGGCUUAACCAUUGUACGCUUUGGAAACUGAAGGACUUGAGUGCAGAAGGGGAGAGUGGAAUUCCAUGUGUAGCGGUGAAAUGCGUAGAUAUAUGGAGGAACACCGGUGGCGAAAGCGGCUCUAUAGUCUGUAACUGACGCUGAGGCUCGAAAGCGUGGGGAGCAAACAGG
rnacentral:rRNA from 1 species